rnacentral:lncRNA from 1 species
AGAUUAGCCGAGUAUUGUAUUGAUGAUUCAGAUCAGUGACAUUUGUAUCCUUUGUGAUUGUUUUGUCAGCAUAAUCAUCAUUCAUAUAUACAUAUACAUAUACAUUCGUACAUCAAAUAUUUCAUUACGCAUUAUUAUUUCAUUUGACUCCUUAUUUUUUUUCGAUCCUCUGCUAUGGUGAUAUCCUUUCCCCACGCAGAUUUGGUGCUUCUGUCCUCCCUCAAUUAUAGAGUUUCGGCCCCUUAAGCAGAAAGAGUUU